rnacentral:rRNA from 1 species
AUUGAACGCUGGCGGCAUGCCUUACACAUGCAAGUCGAACGGCAGCACGGGUGCUUGCACCUGGUGGCGAGUGGCGAACGGGUGAGUAAUACAUCGGAACAUGUCCUGUAGUGGGGGAUAGCCCGGCGAAAGCCGGAUUAAUACCGCCUACGAUCUACGGAUGAAAGCGGGGGACCUUCGGGCCUCGCGCUAUAGGGUUGGCCGAUGGCUGAUUAGCUAGUUGGUGGGGUAAAGGCCUACCAAGGCGACGAUCAGUAACUGGUCUGAGAGGACGACCAGCCACCCGGGACCUGAGCCACGGCCCAGACUCCUACGGGGGGAAGCAGUGGGAAAUUUUGGAAAAGGGGCGAAACCCUGCUCCAGAACGGCGGGGGGUGUAAAGAAGGCUUUCGGGUUGUAAAGCACUUUUGUCGGGAAAAAAAUCCUUGGCCCUAACACGGCCGGGGGAGAACGGUACCGGAAGAAUAGGCACCGGCAAACUCCGU